GGAACCCCCUGACCGUCGUUGCCUCGUCUCUCCCCAGCCCCGACGCGGAAACCUCGCGCAAGAGUAGCCCAAGAGAUGGGAAAAGCAGCUUGGCAAGAGGAGCGCGGCGGGGCUUUCUAUCUUAACACUCUUUCUGAUUCCCGCACCACGUCGGGAGACCCCACUAUCUCCUCACCCUCCACCCGUGGCCUGUAGGAAUCAAUCCAGAAAGGGAUGGCAAAGGAUUUUAGGGCGUUUCACUAAGAUUAUUGACUGAGAUGAAGCAUGUAUUAUGAUGAACUAAGGAAAGUAAGUACAAUUACUCCAUCCCAUCAUACUCUCUUAUCUUGUGAGGUAUGGGCCUAACUUCAAGAAAUCCAAGUUCUAAGCAAACUGGCUCUACAAAAUGAAAGACAUGGUCUAGAUCUAGUCAACAUUUAGAACAGCCACAGUGCAACCCUAGACAUGUCUACUCAGAAGUAAGGCUCGCUGAAUUCAGUUGCACUUCCUCCUAGGUAAGUAUGUAUGGGAUUGCAGUCUCAAGUGCAUUAUUAGAUCUCUCAUGUUGAAAUAAAUGAACCUUCAAAGUGCUUAGCUUUGCUGAAAUCAUGCCCAAUAUGAUUACAUGAUUUGCCCCUGAAAUUGCAAGUUUGUCUGAUUAUAAUUCCCCACCGUAGAUUUCCCCCUUCACCCCAGUCUAGCCUUACUGUGAGGUACAAGUUAAUUCAGAGACUCUGGAAUUGGGUGCUCAGACAUGACUGGGUGAGGCUGGAGCAAAGUGUUGCUUUGGGGGGGGGGCAGAUUUACAGAAAGCAGAUGAUGUAAGUAAAUCCUGCACAUUAUAAACUUAAAGUAACCACCAGGCCUGUGGGCUUCUUCCCCAGUGGAGUAUCCAGCCCAGCCUUUGAUGAAGUGAAGCUCCCUCACAGCCCAGCUCUGCUUCAGAUAUUGUUUCAAACAGACUGAUGAAGCCCUUUUUGCCUCAUUUAAGAUAAAUAGCGAAUGUUGGGGGGAAAGUGUCUUCCCCUAUUUCUUUUCUUCGUUGUAUGAAAGCCAGGCCGGGUGAAGGGGGAGGAGGGCAGGGCCAGGCUGAGAUGUGGUGUCAGAUCAUGCAGAAUCUCAGAGAACCCAGCCUUGCACUGGCCUCUUCAGGGAAGGAAAUUUAAAUUAACUGCAGCAGUUGGUGUGUAUUUGUGUGUGUUUGUACUGGAGUUGGAGAAAACCUUUGCAUGGAACCUGGUUCCCAAGGCUCCAACGGAAUAAGAGGAACCCUCCGCGCUAGCAGACCUUCCUGGCAAAGCUUUGACACUGCUUUGCCUGACAACAGCCUUGCUCAGGAUGCAGCAAACUAGGAGAUAGGUAACACAAAGAAGCUCAUGGCUCAGCAUCACAGAGCAAAAGAUACCAUAGAAAAAGAGGUAUCUCUUUUUUGUGGCCAUCAGCUCUGCUGACACUGAUGCACAGUGGAAUGAAAGGGACUAUUGAGUGUAAUGAUCAGGUGGUAUUUAUUUUAUUUCUUUAACAAGAUUUAUAUACCACUUAAUCAAAUAAUAAUAAUCCGUAAGUGGCUUACAUAUAGUAUUCAUUAACACUGUAAUAAAAUCUGACUUUGAAACAGUAAACAUAAUGAUCAAAAUAGAGAUAAAUCCAUUGGGGGAAAUGCAUCUAAUUGAAACUGAAAAAUAAAUGCACCUAAUCAAAUUACAUGUCUGGGAAGGUUUGCCGAAACAGAAAAGUUUUUAGCAGUAGUCAAAAACAGAACAGCAAAGAUGCCUACCUAAUAUCUAUAGAUCAGCUGAUGUCACAGUAAAAACAAAUCAAUUUCUCACAAGAGUGGAACAAAUAUUCUGCAGCCCUUGUAAAAGUGCCACUUCUGCAGAUUGAAGCAGUCAAGUGGGCACAUCCAGGGUACGGUGAGGGUCAUAGCUGUACUGUAGUAGUAACAGCUUAUUUGGCUUACUCUUGGCAGGGACUCAGCUAUUUCAAAUGUACUGUUUCAAAUUAUGCCAACGUUUUGUCAAAAGAGGGAUACUUCUAUGAGGACAGAAAGCUAGGAAGGUGAGGAUAUUGGGGAAAACAUGGCAGCCUGGGUCUUCAACAGCAACUAACAAAGAGCUUGCUGAAUAUGGAUGUAAAUGGUUCGCAGUGAAGAAGAGGUACAUAAUUUGGAGCAGAUUCUGCCUAUGUUGGCAGAAUGCACUGAAAAAGAGAAGUAUUCAUCUUCCAGGCAGAAAAGGAACCCCUACCAAGAAUUUAAGUUGAAAUGCGUGUGACUCAGGAAUCAUUGAUGAUCAAGGCAUUUUUCCACUUCUUCCUGAGUUGUGCUUUCUUUCUUGUUUCGAACUGAUGAUGGUAGGUAAUAGAUUGGCUCUGAUACAGAUGCAACCCUUUCUUGCUGUCUUCCAGGGGAGAAAAUAUAGCUGUAUAGCUGCCCAAGAGUCCUAAGGCAAGCUCUCCUACCUAGCUUGCCUACCUACCAAGCUCCUACUUACCUACCUGCUGUGAUGCUCAAGCUGUAGCCCUUUGACCACUAGUGGUCCAUGAGCUCCAUUCAGAUGGUCUCCAUUCAGCGGUACCUAUUUAUCUACUUGCACUUGAUGUGUUUUCGAACUGCUAGGUGGGCAGGAGCUGAGACCAAACAACGGGAGCUCACCCCGUCUCAAGGAUUCGAACUGCUGACCUUCCGAUCAGCAAGUGCUAGCCUCAGUGGUUUAGACCACAGUGCCACCUGCGUCCCUAGCUUAAUGUAUAGGUAAAGGUACCCCUGCCCGUACGGGCCAGUCUUGACAGACUCUAGGGUUGUGCGCCCAUCUCACUCAAGAGGCCGAGGGCCAGCGCUGUCUGGAGACACUUCCGGGUCACGUGGCCAGCGUGACAAAGCUGCAUCUGACAAGCCAGCGCAGCACACGGAAACGCCAUUUACCUUCCCGCCAGUAAGCGGUCCCUAUUUAUCUACUUGCACCCGAGGGUGCUUUCGAACUGCUAGGUUGGCAGGCACUGGGACCGAGCAACGGGAGCGCACCCCGCCGCGGGGAUUCGAACCGCCGACCUUUCGAUCAGCAAGCCCUAGGCGCUGAGGCUUUUACCCACAGCACCACCCGCG